rnacentral:lncRNA from 1 species
UCUAGACACUAGACAUUACAUUCCUCCAUUGUUAACCUUGUGAACACGUAUACUGACUCUCACGCCUGAGCUAUCCCCCGACGGAACAGCCGUCAAGCUUGUGGUGUUUAUCGUGUUUACUGUGCAGGAUCAGGGCGUCUUACGUGAUUGGGACGUGACAGAAGAUCUUGGCGUUAACAUUGGCGCUAGAAGGAGGGGCUUUUUUUUUAGUGUUCUUAAGUUAUCAAUCACAAUAUUUCCAGUUGUUCUACAUCGAAAGUUAUAGCAUAAAUCAGGGGGUUCUCGUUCGAGAACCCACGGUGAAGCCCGAAGAUGGUUGGUCUUUGCUGAUGACAAGGAGUGUGAUCAUGGCCAAAGGCGAGUAAAAGGCACUCCACCUAGAACUCGGCACCGAAGUGGUCAGGCUGAUGAAGAUGGUGGACGAAGCAGAUAGAGCUUUGGAGGUUCUCUUGGGGCAAAGCGAGGAUGUAGCUGUGCGAAGCGAGGAUGUAGCUGUGCAGAGCAAGGAUAUAGUUGUGCAGAUUCUUCGGAUUGCCAAGCUGAGGGACAAAGCAUUCAAUUAUAACCAGUCUGAAAGAUGUGGUACGCCUAAAGAUGGACAACCGUGAGUUGGAAAGCAGUUUAUACACUUUGAGGACGUAUCUUAAGGUGAUCCUCAUGACCAAAGAAGACCAAAGAACCAUAUUCCUAAGCAUCCGAAGAGGGUUUCCCGCCCUAUUUGUCUUCGGGAUCAUGGUCGAAGCAGAGUAGAUGAAGACCCAACAGCCAUUUUUCUGAUUGACCGAAGAGGGUAUCCCGCCCUAUUUGUCUUCGGGAUCAUGGUCGAAGCAGAGUAGAUGAAGACCCAACAGCCAUUUUUCUGAUUGAUCGAAGAUGGUAUUCUGCCCUAUUUGUCUUCGGGAUUAUGGUCGGAGUAGAUCCAGAAGCCAUAUUCCUAAGAAUCCACUGAGGGCACACCGCCCUGUAGACACUUGUCUUCGGAGAUGCCCGUUUAAGGCUGUCAGGUUCAGAUUCAGCACACAAAAUGCACCUAUAUUCCUAAACAUCCGAAGAAGGUACCUCAUCCUAGGGGUUCUCGGGACUAUGGCGCAGGCAGACAAAAGAGCAGCACAGGAGGAUAUUCACCC